CCGGCCUCCCGCCCCCCGGGCGGGUCGGCGCCCGCCGGAGGAUAACCAAACUCUGAUUUAACGACGUUUCUUCUGAGUGGUACAAGCAAAUAAUCAAAACUUUUAACAACGGAUCUCUUGGUUCUGGCAUCGAUGAAGAACGCAGCGAAAUGCGAUAAGUAAUGUGAAUUGCAGAAUUCAGUGAAUCAUCGAAUCUUUGAACGCACAUUGCGCCCGCCAGCAUUCUGGCGGGCAUGCCUGUUCGAGCGUCAUUUCAACCCUCAAGCUCUGCUUGGUGUUGGGGCCCUACAGCUGAUGUAGGCCCUCAAAGGUAGUGGCGGACCCUCCCGGAGCCUCCUUUGCGUAGUAACUUUACGUCUCGCACUGGGAUCCGGAGGGACUCUUGCCGUAAAACCCCCAAUUUUCCAAAGGUUGACCUCGGAUCAGGUAGGAAUACCCGCUGAACUUAAGCAUA
rnacentral:rRNA from 1 species